CGGGGCACAGUGGGAACGGAAGUCAGUCGCUCCGGAGUCGCAGUAAGCGCCUGCGCCCUACCUUCCGGAGCGCAGAGGCGGAAGUGCGCCCGAACUGCUCUCACGGGCUUCCCUCCCUAGCCGUAGCACCCGACUCCGGCGAAGGAGUCAGACAUAGCCAGGACUGAGGCGGGAAGAGGGGGAACACGAGGGUUUUGGUGUCGAGGCUGCUAGUUCUCCCCAGAGGCAGCCCUCAGCUGUAGGAAUGAUACUUCUCGCAGUGAGAAAGCAAUAGGAACCAAAGGGAAGCGCGGCAGGCAGGGAUGAUCGUCUCGGUCUGCAGGGGACUUUAGGAAGUGAAAUUGAGCUGGAAAUUGAACCCAGGGCCUUGUAUAUGCAAAGCAUUGACUACUGAGCUAAGCCCCAGCCUGUCCAGGGAGGAAAGUGAAUGUUUUCUACAGGAAGAAACACCAUUUGCCAUGAUCUGAUCAAUAUGUUGUUUACAUAUAUUAAAAUAUACAGUACCUUGUAAACAUGUACAAUUAUGUCAAUUAAAAAGCCUUAAUGUUUGAAAAAAGUU
rnacentral:lncRNA from 1 species